rnacentral:rRNA from 1 species
AAGGAUAACUACGGAAAAGCUGUAGCUAAUACUUGCUUUAGCACUCUUGAUUCAUUUCUUGAGUGUGUACUUGUUAAGCCUUUUAAGAAAAAAGUUAUUAACUUAAGGAAUUAUAACAAAGAAGCGACACGUAAUGGAUCCGUCCAUUUUUAGUGUGUAUCAAUCGAGUUUCUGACCUAUCAGCUUUUGAUGUUAGGGUAUUGGCCUAACAUGGCUAUGACGGGUAACGGGGAAUUAGAGUUCGAUUCCGGAGAGGGAGCCUGAGAAAUAGCUACCACAUCUAAGGAAGGCAGCAGGCGCGUAAAUUACCCAAUUCUAAAGAAGAGAGGUAGUGACAAGAAAUAACAAUACAAGGCCAAUCUGGCUUUGUAAUUGGAAUGAUGGGAAUUUAAAACCUUCCCAAAACUCAAUUGGAGGGCAAGUCUGGUGCCAGCAGCCGCGGUAAUUCCAGCUCCAAUAGCGUAUAUAAAAAUUGUUGCAGUUAAAACGCUCGUAGUUGAAUUUCAAAGAAUCGAUAUUUUAAGCAACGCUUCUAGCUUAAUCCACAUAACUGAUACUUCGUAUCGACUUUGUGCGCAUUUUGCUAUUAUGUGUUCUUUUAAUUAAAAUGAUUCUUUUUAAGGACUUUCUUUGCUUC